rnacentral:rRNA from 1 species
AUAGCAACAAAACCUCGCUAGCCACACCCCCAAGGAACUCAGCAGUGACAGACAUUAAGCCAAUAAGUGCAAACUUGACUUAGUUAUGGUUAAAAGGGCUGGUAAAACUCGUGCCAGCUACCGCGGUUAUACGAGAAGCCCAAGUUGACAAGCUCCGGCGUAAAGCGUGGUUAAGGAAUAAUAAACACUAAAGCCGAACGCUUACUAAGGCUGUUAUACGCUUACGAAAAUAAGAAGCACAUCCACGAAGGUGGCUUUAUCUUACCUGAACCCACGAAAGCCAAGGCACAAACUGGGAUUAGAUACCCCACUAUGCUUUGCCCUAAACAUUGAUAGUCUUAUACAACCACUAUCCGCCCGGGAACUACGAGCAACAGCUUAAAACCCAAAGGACUUGGCGGUGCUUUAGACCCACAUAGAGGAGCCUGUUCUAAAAAACCAG